rnacentral:rRNA from 1 species
UGACGGAGGGGGCUAGCGUUGUUCGGAAUUACUGGGCGUAAAGCGCACGUAGGCGGCUUUGCAAGUUAGAGGUGAAAGCCCGGGGCUCAACUCCGGAAUUGCCUUUAAAACUGCAUCGCUAGAAUUGUGGAGAGGUAAGUGGAAUUCCGAGUGUAGAGGUGAAAUUCGUAGAUAGUUCGGAAGGAACACCAGUGGUCGAAGGCGACUUACUGGACACAUAUUGACGCUGAGGUGCGAAAGCGUGGGGAGCAAACAGG